AUUUGGCAAGGGGAGACUUUAUUCAAAUGGAUUCUCUGCUAAGGUUUCCACUACAGAUGCAAGAAAAAGAAGGUCCUCGUGCUUUCUGUCUGUCUGGUUGUGGCAGCCAAGACUGAAUGGGAGAAUACAGAA
rnacentral:snoRNA from 1 species